rnacentral:lncRNA from 1 species
GAUGCUUCUAAAUUAUCUUUUUUUUAUAGUUUCCUAAAAUUUCUAAAUUUAAAUGUUCAAUUCUUUUUAUAAGCUAUAAAUUUUUUAUUGUUCUAGGCUCUGAUAUCAAUUCAUAGCAAAAUUUUGAACAUGACAAGUAAGAAAAUUUUCUAUGUAGAGAUUCGUAGCAAACUUUGAAAAUGACAAGUAAGAAAAUUUUCUAUAUAGUAAAUUUACACACAUUUUGAAUACUAAAUUUGAAUAGUAAUUUUUUUCUAGCAAUAAAUAUUUUUUAGACUUUUCUUCCUAUCAAUAAAUUUGCCAGUAAAAAGUCUACUAUACUAACUACCAAUUUCAAGAAAGUUAAACUUGAUAGUACCCCCUUCUUUUUUCAAUGAUAUAUUAACAAGUCGGAUUACAAGAUAUUCAAGAGGGAAGGAUGUAAACACUACCAUACUCUUGAGGAGAUAUUUAGCGGGAUUAUAACUAUUGGAGGAUUAGACAAUGCUUCCACCCAGCUUCCAAACACAUCAGAGGAAGAAAGGUAACUAGAAGAUGAUUUUUUGAAUAGAUGACUGCAUGUAAGUAUGAAAAAUGAUGAUGAAGUCGAUGAGGUUUCAAAUACUCGUCAACUUUACGAAAUUGGUACAUGGGGUGAACGCCGACGUAAGGAACCUAAGGUCAGUAAAAGUGAUAAAUUCGAAGCCUGCAUGGCACAGUGGUCAUCUACAGUUAGUUUGAGGAAUGGAGAAACUGAACUUAAGACACUUUAUCUAAAAGAAAAGUUUGCAAAGAUUUAAGGAAAAUCAUGUAAUCAAUCAUAUAGUGAAGUUAAUAAUCGGAUCACUAUUUAAAUGUUAUUUGCUUGGAUAUCUUAAACAAUAUGGUAGGGGUAUCCAAUGAGAUUUAUAUGAAGCAAUACAGUCUUUUAAGGAUCCCGAUUUCAGAGUGUCAUUUGUGAAGAUGCCAAAAGCAAAGAGAAGAGCUAUCUUUGAACUACUUUGAUGUCACUAUUGAUUUUAUUUCUCUAAUAUCGUGUUGUUUUAAUUUGUAAUGUUGAAGGUUGAAGUACUAUGUUAUUUUCACAGCUUGAAGUACUUUUUUCCCUUUCGUGGUGAUAUUAUAUUGUUUUCAUUUACGAACUUAGUAAUAUUGUUGGUUGGAGAACUGAUGUUAAUUUUUCUUUAGUUGUUGAAUGCUUGGUUGCUUGUUUCAUUUGAAAGAAUAAUGGCCGAUAUGACUUUUGAUAACUAUUGUGGUUAUAUUUUGUUCAGAGAAUGGCCAGUGAAUCAAAUGUGGAUGAUAAUGUGAGUACCAAUGAUUCCAUUGAUAAAGAUUCGAGCGAUGAUGAUUUGUUAUUUAUGGAUGAUUUUGACGCAAAUUUUGGAGAGUUAAUGAUGUUUAAUUGCUUUGUUGCCAACAAAGUAAAUACCAUUGGUAGGAGACCUUGCAUGACAUCAUUGCUUACUAGAAAAAUGUACAUACUAGAAAUUCUAAAUGGACAUCCGGAUGUGCUAUCGUAAUUUUCGUAUGUAGAAACAUGUUUUCAUGAAUUUUUGUGAUAUUUUGAAAGAGAAAGUGCUGCUAAAAAAUGGAAAAAAGUAAGCGCUAAGGAGGUUAUUGACUGUAAGGCACACUACACGAUACAGUGUUAUUAGUGAUAGGUUUCAGCAUUCCAACAACAAGAUACAUGAUACACAAAUGGUUUAAACGAGUUGUAAGGGUUAUUUGUUCAUUUGGCACUGAGAUAAUCCGUCCAACAAAUCAAGGACAUUGUGCAUGAGCGGAUUUUGCGCAAAUAUUCUUUCUUUAAGGAUUGUAUAGGCGCAAUAGAUGGAACACAUAUUGCAGCUUAGGCACCUGCAUCGAGACAAACAUCUUUUCGUGGAAGGAAAACUUAUAUAACACAAAAUGUGAUGUUGACAUGUGAUUUUGAUACGAAAUUCACAUUUGUGUAUUCUGGUUAGGAAGGUAUUGCUAAUGAUUUGCAAGUAUUUGUUGAUGCAAUCACAAGAAGCUUGAACAACUUUCAGAUGCCACGGGGAGGUAUAUUCUUAUAUUUCAAAUCAUUAUUGCGAAUAUAUUUAUAAUGUGACACUAUAUAAGCCAUUUUUUUGUUUUGCAGAUCUAUUUUGCCUUGUUGAUUCUGGAUAUCCAAACAUGCCUAGAUUUCUUGCCCCUUAUCAAGGUCAAAUAUAUCAUCUGCGUGACUAUGUUACACGGGAAAGAUUACAUGGGAAGGAAGAAUUGUUCAACUAUAGACACUCCUCGUUCCGUAACAUUAUUGAACUUUGCAUUGGAAUUUUAAAGGCAAGUUUUCCUAUUUUGAAGUUGAUUACCAUUAUCCACUUAAUAGGCGAAGGCCAAUCCCUACUGCAUGUUGUGUAAUAAACAACUUUAUUUGUCAGAAGCAUGCUUUAGAUAGGUUAUUCAUUAGUAUUCACAGAAGAAUAUGGUGUUUCAAGAUAUACCGGAGUCAAGUCAAGAUUAAGAAGUCAUACAUUUCGAUACUAGUCAAACAGCUCAAAUGGGACAUGUCACAGAUCAAAUUGCUACACAAUGUAGAAUGACUACUCAGGACAUCGUACAUGAUCCCGUGGAUGUACUUUAUAUUUUGUUUAAUUUCUAUUUUUUUG